rnacentral:rRNA from 1 species
GGUUAAGCGACUAAGCGUACACGGUGGAUGCCCUGGCAGUCAGAGGCGAUGAAGGACGUGCUAAUCUGCGAAAAGCGUCGGUAAGGUGAUAUGAACCGUUAUAACCGGCGAUGUCCGAAUGGGGAAACCCAGUGCAAUUCGUUGCACUAUCGUUAACUGAAUACAUAGGUUAACGAGGCGAACCGGGGGAACUGAAACAUCUAAGUACCCCGAGGAAAAGAAAUCAACCGAGAUUCCCCCAGUAGCGGCGAGCGAACGGGGAGCAGCCCAGAGUCUGAAUCAGCUUGUGUGUUAGUGGAACGGUCUGGAAAGUCCGACGGUACAGGGUGAUAGUCCCGUACACCAAAAUGCACAGGCUGUGAACUCGAAGAGUAGGGCGGGACACGUGGUAUCCUGUCUGAAUAUGGGGGGACCAUCCUCCAAGGCUAAAUACUCCUGACUGACCGAUAGUGAACCAGUACCGUGAGGGAAAGGCGAAAAGAACCCCGGCGAGGGGAGUGAAAAAGAACCUGAAACCGUGUACGUACAAGCAGUGGGAGCACCUUCGGGUGUGACUGCGUACCUUUUGUAUAAUGGGUCAGCGACUUAUAUUCUGUAGCAAGGUUAACCGUAUAGGGGAGCCGCAGGGAAACCGAGUCUUAACUGGGCGUUAAGUUGCAGGGUAUAGACCCGAAACCCGGUGAUCUAGCCAUGGGCAGGUUGAAGGUUGGGUAACACUAACUGGAGGACCGAACCGACUAAUGUUGAAAAAUUAGCGGAUGACUUGUGGCUGGGGGUGAAAGGCCAAUCAAACCGGGAGAUAGCUGGUUCUCCCCGAAAGCUAUUUAGGUAGCGCCUCGUGAAUUCAUCUUCGGGGGUAGAGCACUGUUUCGGCUAGGGGGUCAUCCCGACUUACCAACCCGAUGCAAACUACGAAUACCGAAGAAUGUUAUCACGGGAGACACACGGCGGGUGCUAACGUCCGUCGUGAAGAGGGAAACAACCCAGACCGCCAGCUAAGGUCCCAAAGUCAUGGUUAAGUGGGAAACGAUGUGGGAAGGCACAGACAGCCAGGAUGUUGGCUUAGAAGCAGCCAUCAUUUAAAGAAAGCGUAAUAGCUCACUGGUCGAGUCGGCCUGCGCGGAAGAUGUAACGGGGCUAAACCAUGCACCGAAGCUGCGGCAGCGACACUAUGUGUUGUUGGGUAGGGGAGCGUUCUGUAAGCCUGCGAAGGUGACCUGUGAGGGUUGCUGGAGGUAUCAGAAGUGCGAAUGCUGACAUAAGUAACGAUAAAGCGGGUGAAAAGCCCGCUCGCCGGAAGACCAAGGGUUCCUGUCCAACGUUAAUCGGGGCAGGGUGAGUCGACCCCUAAGGCGAGGCCGAAAGGCGUAGUCGAUGGGAAACAGGUUAAUAUUCCUGUACUUGGUGUUACUGCGAAGGGGGGACGGAGAAGGCUAUGUUAGCCGGGCGACGGUUGUCCCGGUUUAAGCAUGUAGGCUGGUUA